CCUACGGGAGGCAGCAGUGAGGAAUAUUGGUCAAUGGACGAGAGUCUGAACCAGCCAAGUAGCGUGAAGGAUGACUGCCCUAUGGGUUGUAAACUUCUUUUAUAUGGGAAUAAAAUGUUCCACGUGUGGGAGUUUGUAUGUAACAAAUGAAUAAGGAUCGGCUAACUCCGUGCCAGCAGCCGCGGUAAUACGGAGGAUCCGAGCGUUAGCCGGAUUUAUUGGGUUUAAAGGGGGCGUAGGUGGAUUUUUAAGUUAGUUGUGAAAGUUGUCGGAUCAACCGUAAAAUUGCAGUUGAAACUGGCAGUCUUGAGUACAGUAGAGGUGGGCGGAAUUCGUGGUGUAGCGGUGAAAUGCUUAGAUAUCACGAAGAACUCCGAUUGCGAAGGCAGCUCACUGGACUGCAACUGACACUGAGGCUCGAAAGUGUGGGUAUCAAACAGGAUUAGAUACCCCAGUAGUC
rnacentral:rRNA from 1 species